UGGGGAAUUUUGGACAAUGGGGGCAACCCUGAUCCAGCAAUGCCGCGUGAGUGAAGAAGGCCUUCGGGUUGUAAAGCUCUUUUGUCCGGGAAGAAAUCCCAUCCCUGAAUACGGGGUGGGGAUGACGGUACUGGAAGAAUAAGCACCGGCUAACUACGUGCCAGCAGCCGCGGUAAUACGUAGGGUGCAAGCGUUAAUCGGAAUUACUGGGCGUAAAGCGUGCGCAGGCGGUUGUGCAAGACCGAUGUGAAAUCCCCGGGCUUAACCUGGGAACUGCAUUGGUGACUGCACGGCUAGAGUGUGUCAGAGGGGGGUAGAAUUCCACGUGUAGCAGUGAAAUGCGUAGAGAUGUGGAGGAAUACCGAUGGCGAAGGCAGCCCCCUGGGAUAACACUGACGCUCAUGCACGAAAGCGUGGGGAGCAAACAGGAUUAGAUACCCUGGUAGUCCACGCCCUAAAACGAUGUCAACUAGUUGUCGGGGAUUAAUUUCCUUGGUAACGCAGCUAACGCGUGAAGUUGACCGCCU
rnacentral:rRNA from 1 species